CCUACGGGAGGCAGCAGUGAGGAAUAUUGGUCAAUGGACGAGAGCCUGAACCAGCCAAGUAGCGUGAAGGAUGACUGCCCUAGGGGUUGUAAACUUCUUUUAUAGGGGAAUAAAAUGGUCCACGUGUGCCAUUUUGUAUGUACCAUAUGAAUAAGGAUCGGCUAACUCCGUGCCAGCAGCCGCGGUAAUACGGAGGAUCAGAGGUUUAUCGGGAUUUAUUGGGUUAAAGGGGGCGUAGGUGGUUUGGUAAGUCAGUUGUGAAAGGUUGCGGCUCAACGGUGAAAUUGCAAUUGAAACUGGCAGUGUGGAGUACAGUUGAGGUAGGCGGAAUGCGUGGUGUAGCGGUGAAAUGCUUAGAUAUCACGAAGAACUCCGAUUGCGAAGGCAGCUCACUAAACUGCCACUGACACUGAUGCUCGAAAGUGUGGGUAUCAAACAGGAUUAGAUACCCGUGUAGUC
rnacentral:rRNA from 1 species